UGCAAUCAACUCAUCUGCUUCACCUGUUUGCUGCUGCGCAAUCACCAUUAUGUCACACACCUGUGGAGCUGCAGUUAUAUACAGCCCUCUGACAGGCAGACGGUGCCAGAUUUUUGAAAACAGUUUGUGAUUAGUUAUCCAGCGUUCCUUCCUGCCUGAUCUCGUUCUCUGACCUUGCCUUGCUUCACGGAUUAUUCCCUCCUGCAUGCCCCUUGUCUGACGGAUUGGAUUCUAGAUUUCGACUCUGUUUUCUGCCUCUGGUUUCAUGCCUCUGCCUGCUCCUCGUCUGAUGCCUCUAGCCCUGGAACGCGACCCAAUUUCUGUCCAUGGAUUUACACCUCAGCCUAACCAUUGGUUUAUUCAGCAUAGCCUGCCUGGCUCUCAAGUCUGCCUGGAAUUAUUGUCAAGAGGACAGUCACUGCUCUGUGUUCUUGCCACAGCUUCAGCUGAUUCCCCUGAGGAUUUGGAUCAGUCGGCAAUCCGACUUCAGUCUGUUGGACUCUUCCACAUAAACUAUCUGGAUAACAUCCUCUUCUGGAUUCUGAACCUUAUUCCCAGACUGAGAAGUGAUUCGUGGAAGCUGACUGUUUGUUACCUAUGUGCUGACCCUGCCUUCCUGAAUAAACCUUUUAACUUAAUACUUUGUGUCUGGCUGAAUUUGGGUCCUCUGUCUCUGGUUGUAAUAUGGCUAGCAGCUUUAAUAAAAGGAAUUUGUAAGUUUCACUGCUAGCAUACAUAGCUGCCAUCUUGCCAGUAAUUGGGAUUGCACUUUAGGAACAUUUCUUUAGCAUGUUAAUCAAAGGUCCCUGUUUGCCGAACCAGGAAGUCUUACUGCCAUUAGAUUGCAGAACUAAGCGCAUAAUAUGAACCUUACAGACCAAAUUUCUUGUCCAUCUCUCAUAUGAUAGACAGGGACCGUGACUUGACAAUAUCAGGUUCAUGGUAAGUUUCAGCUUUAGCAGAGCAACAUCACAAAAUUUGAUGAUUUCCCUAUAAUGAGUUUUAAUUAAACACUUAUUAGUUUUCCAUUCCAGCUUGAUUGUCUUGUGCCUGCCUAAACUCUCGGCACCGUGGGGGAAGAGAAGUUUUGAUGGCAGGUUGAAGGAUUGGGCACACUACUGAGUCAGACAUUGUUUGCAGACUUACUGAAAAGCAAAAAUCUUUAAUUCAUUACCAUUUGAAUAUGGGAAAACUCUGGAAAAUCAGUAGGCCCUGCAUGUCAGCAGACAUCAGAAUUACCUUUUUAUAUUCAAGGUUCUGGAGAUUUAUACCUCUGUUUCCUCCACCUCCUGUUUUUGCUCCAGUAUCCAGCUAAUGGAUUUCACAGAGUGACAUCUACUGAAGUGGCACUAUUUCAGAUCUGUCGACAAGCUGGGAAGCGGUUACCUUGCGAAGUCACACAGCAGCUGCAGCAGACAUGUGUCCCAUCUGUCACUAAGCAUCAGCACUGCACUGCACUCAGCCUUGCUUACCAGCCCGACCGAGUGGAACCUUCCCCGACAACAGCACAUGAUAGAUAUGUCACAACCUGGAAAUGAAGCCAUACACAUUCAAAUCACAGAGACCUCAAGCCCAUACUAAAUGCACACCAUCAUCUACCCUGGAGGAGAGAGGGAGACAGAACUGAGGCUGGUCACUGCAUGAUAACAUCCUAUCAUGGCGUGGCCUUCAGGAUGAUUUGAAGCUUUGUGACAGCUGUGUGAAUAAGCUGUUGUGGACCUACAGGAGGCACUACAACAUGCACACAGGGAUGACAUGUCUAAUUAAACGUGCAACACAAAAAUAGACAGUGGACUGUUUCUCAACAGCAUAUCAAUAUGUACAGAGUGCAUGGUUAUUUCUGCUGCAGACUAAAUUAGAAAAUACAUUGAUUCAA